rnacentral:rRNA from 1 species
AGAAAGCUUGCUUUCUUUGCUGGCGACCGGCGCACGGGUGAGUAACACGUAUCCAACCUGCCCUUUACUCGGGGAUAGCCUUUCGAAAGAAAGAUUAAUACCCGAUGGGAUAAUCAUUCCGCAUGGUUUGAUUAUUAAAGGAUUCCGGUAAAGGAUGGGGAUGCGUUCCAUUAGGUUGUUGGUGAGGUAACGGCCCACCAAGCCUUCGAUGGAUAGGGGUUCUGAGAGGAAGGUCCCCCACAUUGGAACUGAGACACGGUCCAAACUCCUACGGGAGGCAGCAGUGAGGAAUAUUGGUCAAUG